rnacentral:lncRNA from 10 species
AAUCUAGGAGCUGGAGUCCAUGACUCACAGGGACUCUCAAUGGGGAGUGGGAAGGUUCUGGGAGGGCAUAUGGCACCCAGAAUAUGGCUGUAGGCAUUUGUAAAUGGGGUUGUUGACAUUGAGCUUUCAGGUACAAAGGAAACUGGAGCUGUCCUGUCCUGAGAAUUCCAGAGAUUUUGAAGAAUCUGUGGGGAUAAGAAGGGUGCAGCGGAGGGAGUUCUUGGAAGCAUUCUUAAAGGAUGUGGUAGGAGAGCACCUGGAAAAGCCUACUUUAUUGAAGGGAGGCUUCAAGGACCCAGGCAGAGGAGGUCAUGUUUAACAAAUCGGAUGGAGUUUCUUGAAGAUAUCCCUGUCAUGAAAGAUGAAGGAGAUUUAGUGGCUGUAUGAAGAGUGCUUUGAUUUUUAAACAAGAUUUGACAAGAUCCACAUCCGGGAUUAAUGGUCAAGGGGAAGAGCUAUUGAACAUGGGUAAUGUAGGGUGCAAGAGAAAAAACUGGCUCAAGAAAGGGAGAUGGAUGAAAGACAGGGAAGGGUUUUGUGAUUUACUCCUAUCCCCUCCGAAGAGAAGAUUAAGACACAGAGAUACCAGAGAGGUCGUUCACAGAGGAAAGACCAUGUGAAGACGCAGUGAGAAGGUGGCCAUAUUCAAGCUGAGGAGAGAGACCUCAGAAGAAACCAAUACUGCCAACGCCUUGGUCUUGGACUUCCAGCCUCCAGAACUGAUGAUGCCUUUUGAAAGCAUUCUUAAUGGUCUACCUUCCUUCCCCUGAUUCUCAUGAGAAUCUGAUCUUCGCUAAAGUGGGCAAGGUCCUGGAUCAGAAGAUGCCUGACAAGAGGCCACUAUCAGCAGCAACAGCACAGUGGGGACAAACCUGAGACCUUGAUGGACCGUGGACACCAGCAGGAGAGACAGAGGAACUUGAAGUCUAAAUGGGCAGACAAGACCAACAUACACAAAGCAGAGAGUGGCACAAGAGCCAUGUCUGAUGCAACAGUGACUCAGGAGGAUCACUCUGACUCAGAAUGGCCAAGCAAAGGUAUUGGGAGGAAGUGGGAUAGAACUGAGCUUUGAAGACCGUGCUAAAAUAUUUACAGACUCCCCAGGUUAUCUCAAGUUCUCUCCAGGAAUUAGCUUCACCUCUUUGUGCUUUGGCUCCACAUCAGUUAAAUAGUGGUAACGUUUGAUCGUUAAGAACCAUGUAGAGAUGAAACAAUUUUCAAAGUUUUUUAAUUAAGUGUACUCAUUGCCACUCAAAGACAAAUACCAUAUAAAUAUAAUAAUAAUCAUAUUGAGAAACAAAAUAGCAAUGAUGCAGAUACUCAUGUACUGUUUCAUGUUUGUGGUCUUUGAGGGGAGUUUUUACUCAAAUAUCCCUAGAUGAAUAAAUACAUAUGGUCUAUUGAAAUUGAGUAACGUUUAACAGAAGGUGUCUGAU